GCAUACAAUAAGCGGAGGAAAAGAAACCAACAGGGAUUGCCUCAGUAACGGCGAGUGAAGCGGCAAUAGCUCAAAUUUGAAAUCUGGCCGUUUCACGGUCCGAGUUGUAAUUUGUAGAGGAUGCUUCGGCUUCGGCCCCGGUCUAAGUUCCUUGGAACAGGACGUCACAGAGGGUGAGAAUCCCGUUUGUGGCCGGCGGCCCCCGCCAUGUGAAGCUCCUUCGACGAGUCGAGUUGUUUGGGAAUGCAGCUCUAAAUGGGAGGUAAAUUUCUUCUAAAGCUAAAUACCGGCCAGAGACCGAUAGCGCACAAGUAGAGUGAUCGAAAGAUGAAAAGCACUUUGGAAAGAGAGUUAAAAAGUACGUGAAAUUGUUGAAAGGGAAGCGCUUGCGACCAGACUUGCCCGCGGAUGCUCAACCGGUCCUCCGGCCGGUGCACUCUUCCGCGGUCAGGCCAGCAUCAGUUCGGGCGGUCGGAUAAAGGCCUCGGGAAUGUAUCUCUCUUCGGGGAGUGUUAUAGCCCUUGGUGCAAUACGGCCCGCCUGGACUGAGGCCCGCGCUUCGUGCUAGGAUGCUGGCGUAAUGGUCGUAAGCGGCCCGUCUUGAAACACGGACCAAGGAGUCUAACAUCUAUGCGAGUGUUUGGGUGUCAAACCCGUGCGCGAAAUGAAAGUGAACGGAGGUGGGAACCUUAGGGUGCACCAUCGACCGAUCCUGAUGUCUUCGGAUGGAUUUGAGUAAGAGCAUAGCUGUUGGGACCCGAAAGAUGGUGAACUAUGCCUGAAUAGGGUGAAGCCAGAGGAAACUCUGGUGGAGGCUCGCAGCGGUUCUGACGUGCAAAUCGAUCGUCAAAUUUGGGUAUAGGGGGCGAAAGACUAAUCGAACCAUCUAGUAGCUGGGUCCUGCGA
rnacentral:rRNA from 1 species